UUUAUCUGAAAAAGGUGUCAAUUACACAAGAAUAGGCUGGUAUUAGUAGGUUAUGCUUAAAAACUGAUUCAGUCUUUUUUGUGAGUUAAUUUACAUUAAAAAAAAAUUAAAAAAGAAAAAGAAGAAAGCAGCUAGGCACAUGCUGAUUCAUCACAGUGGAGAGAACAUGUUAGUCUGGACAGAAUCUGUUUUGGUUCAAUUAUGAGGGUCUGGCGCCAUCUAGCUGUAAACAGGUGGAACCAAUGAUGCAAUUUUAUUUUUAGGGAAGCUUGAAUGUUUUUAAAUUGUGUGUUGGAUAUUUUUAACAUGAGUUAAUGAGUUUUUUUGCUAUGCAUAUCUCAGUUUUGUCAUAUUGGUCCUUGGCCUGUUGAAGACCCAGUAAGGUUGAAUUGUUGCUAUUCCAAUCCAAGUUUUAGUUGGGAUUAUAUCCGCAUACUUUUCCUUCAUUUAAAUUAUUCUAAAACUGACCUAAAUACAGGCUUGGAUGGACACAAGCUACUUUUCUGCAAGUUCUACUUAACCAGGAAGCUUUCCGGUAACACUCCAAUGUAAACCUAUUAGUGAGUUAUGGUGAAACAAAGCACUGUGAAACAGGAGACCUGUGUUUUUGGCCUUGAAGGCACAUGGUUGAGAACCGCUGCAAUAAAAAAAGGUGACAAAACAAUCCACUUUUAAAAACGGAGAGUCUCUUUAUUAAAAUGCUUCAGAAGUCAAACAAAUGAAGCUGGCAUAUUUUGGUGAAAAAUACACUUAUUAAGAGUGAAAACAAAUGUUAAAAUGCUGAUAAAACGUUGAUACACUCCAGGUGCCUCCAAAGAAGGC